ensembl:lncRNA
AUGUAUCAUACACCCAUUUCGCAGAGAAGCGGAGGCACAGAGAGGUUCAAUACCCUGAGGCCCGUCAGCCUGGAGUUUUGUUUUACUCGUGUAUGUGGAGGUUUCUCAACCUCAGCACAACCGACCUUUCAGGCCGGGCGAGGGCGAGGGCGAGGGCGUGGGCGGUGGGGAGGGGCUGGGGUACGGCACGACGCCCAGGAGCCGCCCAGGAGCCGCGGAGCUACCCUGCCCGUACCCUCCCCUCCAGCCCGUACCCUGGGUCGGUCGGACAACCUCGGGCCCCAGAUGUGCCUCCAGAUAAGUGAGCUGGGUGCUGGCCAAGGAAGGAAAGAAGACCAAUUAGGAGAAGCCACGGUGGUCUGCGGUGGCCCGAUCUGCAGCCCUGGCCAGAGAAAGGGGGUCACCCAGUGCACAGUCUUGGCGAGCAGCCGCAAGGGCUGGAACCCAGAGAUGAGAGUGCCCAGGGGAGGUAAGUGCAUCCAGAAGGCCCCCCAGAGUCCAGGCUCCUCCACAGGCUGCCCUAGAAAGAGCCGCUGUGCUCCCUCGGCCUCUGUUACUGGGCAGCCGGACUCACCUGGCUGUUAGAAAUGCAUCUGGGCAAAGCUGGAUCCCAGCAGUGUGCAGGGGCAGGCCUCUGCUGCUGCCUGUCUCUUAGAUGAUUAUCCUGGUGGUAGAAGACCGAAUCCCGCAGUGGGCUGGUGCCCAGCUUCACUGAGCGGAUUCAAGGUAUGGCCAGAAUCCAGACCCUCUGCGUCCCGUCUGACCAAUGCUAGGGUUUCGGUGUGCUUGCUCAGCACGUCCCACAAAAUUUCCCUGAACCACAUAAUAGCUCCCUGAGAAAGAGUUAUUAUUAUGCUCCCUCCCCUUUUUUGAGGGGAAAAGAGAGGCUUGUGGGGGGUGAAGUCCCUUGUCCGAGUCCCCAGCUGCCAAUGGAGGCAGGAUUUGAACCCAGGGCUGUAAGAUGCCGAGUCUGAGACUCUCACACACCAUCCUCACUGCCAGGACACUGGGACAGCUCCCUUGACAGAGUCAAGCAGGGUAGUGGGGGUAGAAGCCCGGCCUGAGUCCCCAGGCUGGGCACUCUGUCCCCUUCAGAGUGGGGUCCCUGGCUGUGGAUGGCCAGGACGCUGCCUUUGGCUUUGUGGACCCCCAGCUAUUUCUCUUUGCCUACUUUUUUAAAAACACACCAUCCUCACUGCCAGGACACUGGGACAGCUCCCUUGACAGAGUCAAGCAGGGUAGUGGGGGUAGAAGCCCGGCCUGAGUCCCCAGGCUGGGCACUCUGUCCCCUUCAGAGUGGGGUCCCUGGCUGUGGAUGGCCAGGACGCUGCCUUUGGCUUUGUGGACCCCCAGCUAUUUCUCUUUGCCUACUUUUUUAAAAAGUUACCCUANGAUGGCCAGGACGCUGCCUUUGGCUUUGUGGACCCCCAGCUAUUUCUCUUUGCCAGGUUACCCUACUUUUUCUUCUCAAGGUGUUCCCCAGGUCUUUGCUGUCUUUUGCUCAGGGCUGACCUGUCUGCUUUGAGCUGUUUUCUUCUGGUGGCAGAAACGGACGGGCCUUUUGCCGCACGUCCUGUCUGAAGACAGUGAACAAUUCGGCCUCAGCCUGGUCAUAUCCAGGCCUGUCACUCGGGCUGUGUGACCCUGAGCCAGUGGCUCUUCUCUCUGAGCUGCUGGGAGUGAUGCUUCUCUACCCCACGGGUGGUAGAGAUGUUCCCAUUAUAUGAUGCAUAGUAAAAGUUUAAGCCAAGCAAGUGCUUCAUGAAUGUAAAAAACACAAAAAUCGGGUGCUUUGUUUUAAAGUGUAUUAUAGCCACUGGUGCCUGGGUGGCUCAGUCAGUUCAGGGUGUGACUUGAUCUCAGCUCAGGUCUUGAUCUCAGGAUCGUGAGUUCAAGCUCUGUGUUGGAGGGCAGUCCCAGUGGCGCAUUGGAGCCUACUUUAAUAAUAAUAAUAAUAAUAAUAAUAAUAAUAAUAGGAAUAGUAAUAAUAGUUGGAGCCUACUUAAAAUAAUAACAAUAACAACAACAACAAUAAUAAUAAAGUGUUGCAGCCAAAUGAAUGGUCA